CUGCGGAGGAUCAUUAAUGAUUACGAAUGGUUGCCUUCUGUGCUGGCCAACUGGCAAGUGCACGUCGGUGGCUUUCAUCCAAUCCCCUGUGAACCUCUGGCCUCUUGCUAGCCUCGGCCGGCAGAGGAAUUUUACACAAACUUGAAUGUAAUGAAAUCUAUUGUCGUGCGCAAGCACUAAUGUACAACUUUCAACAACGGAUCUCUUGGCUCUCGCAUCGAUGAAGAACGCAGCGAAAUGCGAUAAGUAAUGUGAAUUGCAGAAUUCAGUGAAUCAUCGAAUCUUUGAACGCACCUUGCACCCUUUGGCAUUCCGAAGGGUAUGCUCGUUUGAGUGUCAUUGUACUCUCACACUCCCGAUCUUGUUGGGAGCGGUGGACUUGGGUGCUGCUGCUUACCGCGGCUCACCUCAAAUGGAUUCGUGCAUCUCUUGGUUGGACAUAGUACGGCGUGAUAAGUGUCUUCGCCGGCNCCUCAGUAGAGGGUGGCCGAUCGGGAGCUCUGUGCUUCUAACCGUCCUCGGACAACAACUGACAACUUGACCUCAAAUCGAGUAGGACCACCCGCUGAACUUAAGCAUAUCA
rnacentral:rRNA from 1 species